ensembl:lncRNA
AUCAUGCUUGAGGGUUAAGAUGUCUGUUUUGAAAUGGCAAUCAGCACAAACAUUGAUGUGAAACUAGAGGAACUUUGGCACAGGAGGUACUUCUUGUUUCUCUUCAAGAAGCCGAGAAGAGGACUGUUGCAGAAUACAUGCAGAAAUGAGAAGUCUAGGCACAUGCUGGGAGACGAAACUAACUGUUUAGACAAAAAGAAGGCAACUGGAUUACUAGAGAUCCUGUGCAAAUGUCCUUUCCAGAGUUGUACAUAACUCCCAGCGAAGCUCCAGGUGAUGACAGCACAGGUCAACUCCUCGCACACAAGGGACUUAAAAACAUCCACCUUCUCAAUGGCAACAAAGGACUAAUUGUACAAAUCCUGCAUAAAAAAACUUUCAUGAGAGCUCAAAGGUUGUGCAGACACAAAAUGGAGAAUACAUCUACCCAUUCCUACGCCUCAGUCCCCUACAUAGAGGGUGCUGUACAAAAGUCCUCGUCCAAAGCGAUCUAGAGACCUACAGUGAUGCUUUGUAGAUAAAUGGUGCUGCAGCAAUCUCUCACAAUUCCCCUGGUCAUAAGUUAUACCAUCCUUCACCUGACUGUCUUGUCAUCUUAAAUUCAUCCUUUUCAUCUCAGACGUUUAACCUCGAGUGUUUGCCAUAACGCCAGACACAACCGGACAGUAAAGGACGAGUCAGCAAGGAGAAAUGGACAUCCCAAAUGCUGAAACUGUUACUUUAUUUCAACUCAGCUUUAUUUAUGUGGCACCUGUUGAACUUUAACAGCAUCAGAAGGCAGAAUUAGCCAAUAUAAAACAGUAAAUAAACAAUAUAAACUCAAUAGACAAAAGAAUGCAAGUGCUAGACAUGGUGGUAAAAAUAAAUGUUAAAAUACAGUCAGAGCUAAAGCUAUUCCUUUAAUUUUCUGACAGGGCAAAGUCUUUACGGAAAAAUAAACAGUGUCAGGGAAAUACAGGGAAUUAAAGCUGAAUUAAUGUCACAAUAAAAAAAUGGAGAGCUAAUAACACUACAAGAAGAUGUUUAGUAUCUUAGGUUUCACUGAGGUUCAUUUAUUCACAUGCAGCAAAAACAGUCAAGAAGUUCAGAUAGUAAUGGUGAAAAUAAUUAAUAUGAUAUUUGUUUAAAAGUGUGUAUCCCCCUUUCUGAAUGACUAGC